CUGAUUUUUUGCUGUUAUGGGAAACCGCCAUUUUGAAAACCUAAGUUUUUACAGAAGCACAUGUCUUCAAGUCUCCAGACAAAAAAAAAAAAAAACCUUACAGUUAAUUUAACGUUUGCACCCUGAGGAGCAACCUAACAGGGUCGGCCUGAAAAAAAGAAGGGGAGGGGGCUCUUAAAUAUUUUUAGUAAAAUGUUGCCUUUGUCUCAUGCAGAACCUGUAGAAUAUAUACUCUUUAAUUUAGUAAAUAUUUUUUAAAAGUUAGAGAUGCUCUGUUAUUGUAGCUAAAACAAUUCUUAAU
rnacentral:lncRNA from 1 species